UCGCUUUUAGAUGGACCCGCGGCGUAUUAACUAGUUGGUGGGGUAACGGCCUACCAAGGUGAUGAUACGUAGCCGAACUGAGAGGUUGAUCGGCCACAUUGGGACUGAGACACGGCCCAAACUCCUACGGGAGGCAGCAGUAGGGAAUCUUCCACAAUGGACGCAAGUCUGAUGGAGCAACGCCGCGUGAGUGAAGAAGGUCUUCGGAUCGUAAAACUCUGUUGUUAGAGAAGAACACGAGUGAGAGUAACUGUUCAUUCGAUGACGGUAUCUAACCAGCAAGUCACGGCUAACUACGUGCCAGCAGCCGCGGUAAUACGUAGGUGGCAAGCGUUGUCCGGAUUUAUUGGGCGUAAAGGGAACGCAGGCGGUCUUUUAAGUCUGAU
rnacentral:rRNA from 1 species